ensembl:lncRNA
GUAAGUAUAUUAUACGCAAAAUAACUUUAUGUGAGCAAAAUGUGUGGUGAAAUCAAGACAGAUUUACUAUUUGUCACAAUGACGUAAAUCUGCUAACAGUUACGCCGCGUCCACGCGCCAAAUUUAAACGGAAGCAGGAAAAAUGUUACAAAGCGACAGCGAGGAUUUGGCCGUUAAUAACGACUCAAAUUUCGUCCCUGGUCUCACACUGUUCUAUUGAGGAGAAAUGAAAAGCAGUUAGGACUUCUUCAAAAAAUCGUACUGUGUUCUCUACAGAAAAACCAUACUCGUCUUGAACGACACGGGGAAACAGAUUUGGAGAAAUUUAAUCCUUUGCAGUGAAUGGAUGCCUACCUUGUUUUUCUCAGCUUGAGGCAAUGGCCCUGGCCAUAAUCCAUCCUUGGUUGGAAGUGGUUGCGAAGACGUUGCUAUGUAGUUGCUAAGGUAGUAAUUGUUGGCACAUCACUAGAGUAGUCUGGCUGGUUGCUUGGUGGAUGCUUACCCAUUUACCCCCAAGUUUAUAUUAUUUUUUUGGUCUGCUAUAGAUGUGGCUUCUAGGGCUGCUCGAUUAUGACAAAAAUCAUAAUCACAAAUAUUUUG